UCCAACAAUUCCCGAUUACACAUCCACUAAACUAACAACACAAGAUCCACAAGUCUCAAACACAAUCAAAGGAAAUAUACAAUGGCAAAGUUCAUCCCAAAUUCAAAGGAAGAGGGGUCUUGGUGGUAGUCUUCUCCCAAUGGAGGUCUUGAAAUCCUCAAGGAUUCUUCCCUAUGGGGUCUUGAUCCUCAAAGAGGGAAGGUAAUGGAGCAAAGCUCACCAAGAUCUCAUCUAAUACUUUGCUAACCCUAAACAUGGUCCUAGGUACGGAAUAUAUAGCCUUGGGGUCGAAGGAGAAGAAGUGGAGCCGAAGAUGCAAUCUCAGCCGGCCAUCCUGGGAGGCCCGUGCGCACGGGGUAAGUUGGGCCCGUGCGCACGGGGGUCCCGUGGGCACAGUACAGUCCCGUGCGCACGGGGUGCUCCAGCGCCUGUUUCCUGUGUAGCCCGUGGGCACGGGGUCUCGGGGGCCCGUGCGCACGGGGUAACCUGGGACUUGCUGUUUUGCUGCUGUUGCACUUCGUCUUGAUCCGGGCGGCCUUGGGGUGCUUCUCCUUCUUCUUGGGGAUGCUCCUGAGCUUCUUGGUGAUGUUCCACUUCAUACCUAAGUAGGCAUAGCAUAUUUUGGUGAGGUAGUAGAUAUGUUCCAUUUGUGUCCAUAUGCAAGUCUAGUAGGAAGGAGUUCACCUCGGUUUCCAAAGCACGUGCUCUAGCUCUUGUCAUGGGUCCUUGUGGGGUUGGAUGUGUCAAUGUAGAGUCCAUGGGGAUGAUGGAAGGAUGCUCCGCAUCAUCUGGUAUCAGAGCCAGGUUGCGCAAAUCAUGUAAAGGAAGCAUGGCAAUAUCAUCACAUGAAAAACAUAAGCCAAUGACCAUCAUCUCGUCAUCUAUGCCAUAAGUGCAAAUGGGAUUUAUUUUAAUGGGGCAUGCAUAGUUACUAUGUUGAGAUUGAAAUGAUGCAAUAUGGGAGAUCUCACUCAUAGCAUAUGACAAGUUCAAUGGAUUGUCAAACAUGACGUGACCAAUAGAAUUUUCACAAGAUAUCCUAUGAAGCAUAGCAUCAGAACUAGGCAACUCAACAUGCUCAUCAUCAUAUUCAUCAUAAAUAGGUAAGUCAAGGCAUGAAGGAGUUUCACUAGCAUGAAGCAUGGCAAUAGGUGGGUCAACAUUAUGGGAUCAAUCGAUGUCAAGAGAGUCCACUAGUGGGACAAGAGAAGCACCAUCACCUAUGUUACCUUUGGAGUGUCGCUCAUGUGUUGUAGGUGAGGUGUUGAAGAUCGUCUCAUUGUCAUCUUCAUCUUGAUGGAACCAUGUGGGGGGUGCAUCAUCGUCCACCAUGGCCGUCAUUUUGUCCAUUGGAGGGAUGGACUCAUGGAGGAUAGGCAUGUCGUCAUGUAGGAAACCUAGCACCAAAGAAGAAAACACACUAGGAGUAGAGGUUAAGUCGUUAGAAAUCAUGGUGGCCUCACAUGCCGUGUCAACUAUCUCACUCACUAAGUGUUGUGGCUCACUCACUCCCUCAAGGAUGCACUCACUCAUAUUGUUGGUGGAGUCACUCAAAUGGCGCUCAACCUCACAUAGGAUGUGUGGCAUGCUCUCUUGUGUGGGGCUAGUGGUGGUCACACUCAUCCUCUCAUAGGAAAUGCUCUCAAUGUCACAUAUGGUGGAGUCACUCAUGUCACUCAUGUGGUGGUGGCUCUCCUCACAUGACAAAUGGGUCAUCUCAUGAUAUGUGGGUGUCGGAGAGAUGUUGGUGCAAAUGUCUCCAUGCUCAACUACUAUCGUCGCCUUGGUUGAAGGGAUAGUCCCAUGCUCAACCUUCUUGUCACCGUCUUGUUGUUGGAGGCCCAUAUGAUGUGGCACCUCAUAGCUUGUCUCCAUGACCGAAGGGAAUGUCCCAUGCUUGGCCUUCUUCCUUGAGGGGCUUCCGAAGAUGGAAGUGUCGCCCUCGCUCGUAGGUGGUUGCCUUGGACUUGAUGAAGUCGUUGUAGGCGUACUCGUGGGAAGUAGGCAAAGAUGCCGUACGUCCAAAGGCGAAGAUGCCUUGAUAGCACUUGGCGAAGAUGCCAAAGUGGUUGGUGUAGCCGUAGCGCUGUCUUGGUGGUGGUCGUCUCGCGGUCUUCUUUUGUUCUCUUGAAGCUUGGACUUGGCGUGAAGUAGGGCUUGUUGGGACUUGUGCACUUGCGCUUGUGGAGCAUCUUCAUGAUCAUGAUGUCGUUGUCGUGCUUGAGCUUGUGGGCGUUCGUCGUCGUCGUGCACAUGAUGCUUGGAGGUGACUUGCCCUUCAUGACGAUGUGGAUCGCGAAAGUGAUGGUAGUCGCCAUGUAGAUGUGGACUUGGACGACUUGCGCUUGCAUCUUUUUCGCGCUCCGAAGACUUGUGGCUUGAAUGUCGCCGCCUUGAAGAUGACGAAGUGGAAGAAGACUUGAUCAAGAUUCUAAUCUCCUCCAUCCUUGCAUCGUGCUCCUCUUUAUGUGCGGAAAGCUUCUUGUCUAUGUAGUCCCUUUUUCUUGCUUCGGAGUGACGAAUGUCGAUGGAGAUGUUCUCGAUGCGCUCUCGCAAUCUUGAUUGUGCGCCUUGCAUUUGUCGUUGUAGAUCGAAGAUGGACGCUUUGGUGAUGUAGUUGUUCAAGCCGUCGUUGUUGUCGUAGACCGGAGAGGAAAUGCCUUGCCUAUCCAUCACAAGACUCGAGCAAAGGUGAGUAGGAAAUGAGAUAAACAAUACCAAGCUACCUUUUCCCAAAGUUGAGGAUGUAUCUUGUAUCACUCAAUGUGAAAUGAAAGAAUAGUGGAAUUGGUACCGGACUUGUUCACUCACACCUACAAGUAAAAGCUUACGGUAGAGCUCAGUGAGGAUAGUGGCACAAAAAUUUGAUGCAAAAUGUUAGCAAGAGUCAAUAAUGUUGGAAAAGAUUCACAAAUUCGCAAGUGAAACAAGUAGACCAAUAGCAAAUAUGGUACACGGAAACACACACACAGAUAGAUAAAUGGGGUCGUGCAACCAAGGAAUGAGCACAAAAUGUGGAGUCCACGGAAAACGCUCGUGUUGCACAACUCAAGAGAGACGCUAGCACGAUUGCUUAAUCGGCGGAUACGACACUUGUGCACAACCUAUAAGAUGCAAAAUGGAUAAACUUCUAUCCCAAGUAUGCUAUGUAUGUAUGGUUCCCGGUGUUUCUCUCAAGAUGAUCCAAGAUGAUCGGAUAUGACAAUCUUAUGUGCAAUGGGGUAUGAUGCUAUGGCACUUGCUUACAAGCUUCUUUGCUCUCUUUCUUUUGCUGAAAAGCUUAUUCUCUUUCUUUUUUUAUGGCCAAUUUGCACAAUGCACAAACCAAGAUAGCAAUUGUGUAUAUACGGGAACGAUAUUGUGAUACAAUGGAUGAUGUGAUACCAAUAUGAUAUGGUAUGUAUGCAAUGGAAUGGUGGAUCACUAAUGUGCACAAGUAACGUUGCCGGCAAUACUCAAAUGGCUAGUCUCGAUAGGCAAGUAACGCAAAAUGAGCUAGGGGUUAACAAUGCAAUUUGCAAGGGAAUAUACAAUGGUGUCGUCGAGGUUACCGUCCUUUGCGAUGAUGAGUAGCGGUGUUCUUGAUGUAGAUACCAAGAUAAUGUAGACUCGUCCGUAAGUAGCCGAAACACCUUAGGAAACGGUAAAAACCGCAAACUCAAAAUCUCAAAUGACAAAUGUUAAAUGGUGGAAGUGGAAAUGGCAAUGUGGAAGUGGUGGUGGUGGUUGGUGAAGAAGCAACCGUCCCUAAGUAGCUGAAACACCUUAGGAGACUCACGUCGCCACUCAAACAACCACAAAUGCUAAAUGGAGCAAAAUGGGUUAGGUUGCGGAAGGCGGUGGUGAUGUAGCGGAUGAUAUGGUGGAGGGCCUAGGCAAAGAUGCCAAAAUGUUAAAAUUUUGAUGGAGUCAAAUGGUGAUGGAGCCUAUCUAGGUGGAUGGGGGAUGUCAAUAGCUACUCAACGAGCUAAAGAACGCGAAAAUCGGACUCCGGAUGUGGAAGUUACGGGCAAAAUGGUGAACUGCACGCGGCUGCUGUAGGGGGGCCGUGCGCACGGGGUCUAGGGCCCGUGGGCACGGGGACCCGUGCGCACGGUACAAGCACCGAGGGCACGGGGUCACCUGGGACAUGCGGGUUUGGCGGAUUUCUUGGCGAUCUGGGCUCCAAGCGGAUGGAUCUCGUGGAUGGGGUGUAGCUGGAGUUAUGGGGGUGGUAUGGGGUGGUGGGACAGAGGUCGAAGCGCACUGGAAGGGCCGUGUGCACGGGGUCUGGCCGGCCCGUGUGCACGGGGUCCUCGAGGAGCGGAUGAACAGCUCCGGAUCCGUGGCAAAUCUCGCACAUGAGGUCAAAUUCGAAGGGUGGAAGGUGGGGGAAGGUGGUAGAGGGGUAGAUCUAUUUGCUAAACACCAAAUCCAUGGACCAAAUCCAACAAAAUCUCAUCAAACCAACAAAUCACAAAAAAAUUGGGGCUAUUUUUGAUGGGGAUUUUCGAAUUUAGGACGAAAUCACACAAAAUCAAGCUAGAAAACACGGGGUAGGGGCUCCAAAAACGUGAUCAACGUGGCUCAUGAUACCGUAUGAUGUAGGGUGGAACCCUAUGGAGAGAUCUUUCACGAAUUGGAGGUGGAAUCCCAAGAACAAGAUGAACAAAAGAGGAAAAACAAGGGGAACACUCAAGAACAAGUCAAAUCACACAUCCACUAGACAAUCAAACACAUAAGAUCCACAAGGUACAUGAACAACAAAAGAAAAUAAGAUACAUGGUAGAGUUCAUCCCAAAUCUUAUGAAGGAGAUGAGGGCUUGAUGAUCUAGAUAGAUCCUUCCCUCAAGGGGGUCUUCAUCCACUAGGGAUCUUCUCCAAAGGAGGCCUUGAACUACAAUGAACUCCAAUGGAGUGGAAUCCCACAAGGGGAGGUACAUACGAGCUAAGCUCUAGUGUUUAGAUCUAAUCUUAGCUGAACAAAACAAAUGGGGGAGUACAUUUGUAGAAGCGUACUGAAAUCCAUAUUAGCCUGGCAUUCGUGAGAGGCACUGACAAUACAAGGCCACUGGACCGUCAUAAAUUAAUGAGCCUUAUCAAUUUGGUAGCACCUUUCUCUAAUAUCGGAUGAUAUUUGGAUUAUCGGUAGUUUCCACUUUUCCGUCACGCCGUCACGGCGUCACACGGCACCGCGUGUCUAAACCGGAGAUGAGUGAACGGCACUCCACUUCAUGUGGAAUCAUGGAUCGCACCCAAGGGACAAAAGCUGUCAUCACCAUGGCCUUCCAGCGCUAAACAAAGUCCAAAACAUAACAAAGGCGUAGCCCUGUUCUGUUUUCCCCUUUCGUCGUCCCUCGUUUUCCGGGCGCAUACAGACACGCCGCCCAAUUUAUUACUACUCCUAGAGUGGUAGCACUCCGACGUACUCCUGGCGAACAGCUCACGCUCCACACUGAUCCCACUCACUCGACCGAGCCAGCCCAAACCUCCAAGAUUUAACGCCGCCGUCUUCAAAAGCCACCCACAGGG
rnacentral:lncRNA from 1 species